rnacentral:miRNA from 3 species
ACCGUGGCAUUAGAUUGUUACU